AUAUCACUGUCAUCCAUUCCCAGUCAAUACGUCAAGAACAGAAUAAUGAAGCUGACAUAAUUCUAUUUGUUCCAAAUCUUUAUUUUUUGAAUUUUUCUAAUUUUAUCUCGCUUUCUUUCAAGCAUGAGCAAUAUUUUUCAACAUUUUUGGAUAAUUUCAUUGCUAUGACCAAUUUUUAGCUAUAGAGAUUUCUCGUGAGGAUGCUACCAUGGAGAAUUUUGUGGUUUGUACUCCCGCAAUUUGUCCUGUCUUCAUCACCAAAAGUAGAUUACGUGCAACAGGACCAAAACAAAACAACUGAAUUUUCAAUGAUGGUAGCACUCUUUGAUCGCAAUGGGUCCUAUUUAUGCGCUGGGACGAUAAUAAAUCAGUUUCAUAUUCUUGCUGCUGCGCAUUGCUUUUUCGUAGGAAAUCCGAGAACUGUUUUUUCAAGAAAUUCUGAAGCAACGUUAAAUGCAAGUCAAGCCCACCCUUCGACGCUUCUUUCCAUAAUCAAAUCAUACAUUAUUCACCCUGAUUUCCAGAUGAAUGUGAUCUAUGAAUAUGACAUUGCGGUUGCCCGAUAUCUGAUUAGAUUGUAGAACCAAUCCGAUUUACUAAAUCUCUGAAGCCCGUUGAGUUAUGUGAAAAGCCACCCGAGGAAGAUGACACAUGUCUAAAUGUAGGAUGGGAUGCUCUACCAGAGAAUGCAACUUCAUUGACAAUUGAGAAGGUCACGAUUUUAUCGACGGGUGCCUGCCUUAUUAAUGGCGAGAAGGUGGGAGAUAUAAUUUGUGCUAAAUCUGAGACUCCCCCCUUGGAUCGUGUCUUUAAGGAUGUCUACGGAAAUGCACUUCUUUGUGGGAGUCAACAAUGUGGGUUAUUAACUGCUUAUCAUGGGAGUAGAAGGCACAUUAACUACUAUGUUAAGGUCUCCUUGUUCAAAGGUUGGAUCGAAAGAAACAGUGAUUUAGAGAAGAUCAGGCUAUACACUAUUCAAGAGAGAAGUAGAAGUCUAUCAGGGGUUUCUUUCCCCAAGAACUGUCUUUUAAAUAUUUUUGUGUUCCAAGUAUUAAAAGCAUUUAUAGAAUGAUAAACAGAUAUCAAAAGAACUUCUAAACGAG